UACGUAGGGGGCAAGCGUUGUCCGGAAUCAUUGGGCGUAAAGAGCGUGUAGGCGGCUCGAUAAGUCUGCUGUGAAAGUCCAGGGCUCAACCCUGGGAUGCCGGUGGAUACUGUCGAGCUAGAGUACGGAAGAGGCGAGUGGAAUCCCGGUGUAGCGGUGAAAUGCGCAGAUAUCGGGAGGAACACCAAUUGCGAAGGCAGCUCGCUGGGACGUCACUGACGCUGAGACGCGAAAGCGUGGGGAGCAAACAGGG
rnacentral:rRNA from 1 species